UUGCCCUAGUAACGGCGAGUGAAGCGGCAACAGCUCAAAUUUGAAAUCUGGCUCUUUUAGAGUCCGAGUUGUAAUUUGCAGAGGGCGCUUUGGCUUUGGCAGCGGUCCAAGUUCCUUGGAACAGGACGUCACAGAGGGUGAGAAUCCCGUACGUGGUCGCUGGCUAUUGCCGUGUAAAGCCCCUUCGACGAGUCGAGUUGUUUGGGAAUGCAGCUCUAAAUGGGAGGUACAUUUCUUCUAAAGCUAAAUAUUGGCCAGAGACCGAUAGCGCACAAGUAGAGUGAUCGAAAGAUGAAAAGCACUUUGGAAAGAGAGUCAAACAGCACGUGAAAUUGUUGAAAGGGAAGCGCUUGCAGCCAGACUUGCUUACAGUUGCUCAUCCGGGUUUUUACCCGGUGCACUCUUCUGUAGGCAGGCCAGCAUCAGUUUGGGCGGUAGGAUAAAGGUCUCUGUCACGUACCUCCUUUCGGGGAGGCCUUAUAGGGGAGACGACAUACUACCAGCCUGGACUGAGGUCCGCGCAUCUGCUAGGAUGCUGGCGUAAUGGCUGUAAGCGGCCCGUCUUGAAACACGGACCAAGGAGUCUAACAUCUAUGCGAGUGUUUGGGUGUCAAGCCCGAGCGCGUAAUGAAAGUGAACGGAGGUGGGAACCCGCAAGGGUGCACCAUCGACCGAUCCUGAUGUCUUCGGAAGGAUUUGAGUAAGAGCAUGGCUGUUGGGACCCGAAAGAUGGUGAACUAUGCUUGAAUAGGGUGAAGCCAGAGGAAACUCUGGUGGAGGCUCGCAGCGGUUCUGACGUGCAAAUCGAUCGUCAAAUUUGGGCAUAGGGGCGAAAGACUAAUCGAAC
rnacentral:rRNA from 1 species